rnacentral:lncRNA from 1 species
AACCCCUCCAGGAGAUGUACAGACAUUAUCCAGACCUCCACGCACCUUAUGUUACUGCUAAGCCGGUGAAUCUACGUAGCUGAACCAUAAAAAUACACAUUUGCGAUGUCAGCAACAUGGUGAAGUAGUCUUCUGCUGUCUUCUUUGGGAGGAACUCCGAUUUUGACAGCUGCCCACGGAUGAGAAUGCUUUGGGGAAGUCUAGGAGUUCAGCAGAGAAGCUCCAGCACAUCAUUGAAGAAAAAAAAUCAGGACUGGACACAUGAAAAUGUGGUGAAAAAGAAAGCAUCCUGUGCGGUUAUCCGGGAGGCCUCAUGAACUUGGCCCGACAUCGCAGCUGUCCAUGACCUCCGCAGCCAUUGCCCCAGAAACCAGCUGGCUUCCCGCAGCUGAGAACUGGCAGCCCCUGCCUCAGCUCCCCCCAGCGCUUCUCGUUUUCUGCUCUGAAUAUGUCUCCUUAGCACUCAGGAUCUGUGGCACGUUGCUUUCUAGCAGAAAGAAGCUUUCUCAGAGGGAAUCUAAAAUAGGCAGUGCAAAGACACCUGUGAUUUCUCUCAGCGUACUCCGAGCCACACGGGUGCCAAAGGGGAAAGAAGAUGACAGAAGAUUCACCAUCUUCCCAGGGCAUGGCUUUGAAAUGCAAAUUCGUUUCCACUUGACCACAGACCAAGAAGGUGAGUCUCUGAUGACACCACAGUGACUGACCAUCUGGGCUGUGUUUGGUCCAAGUCCUCACCUCAGUUUCGGUUUUCUGAGAUACAAAAUAUGACCUGAACCUACCCAUGAAUGCUGCCUGACUGGUAGAGUUCUCAAGGCCUAGUGAGAACCAAAGAUGGCAAUUAGAGCCAGAGAGUGAUGAGUUAGAGUCCAGGACCCUUUUCUGUUCUCCUUCCUGGUAAUUUGAAUAGGAUUUGGAAAAUAAUUUGAGGAAACUAUGAACUUCUUCACAUAAUUUCAUGUUGACAUCUAAUUGUUUUCAUCGUAAAUCUGACAUUUCUGGAAUAUUAUAAAUACUGAAUAUUAAAGUUUUUUAAAUAUUAAAAUAUUCUUAAAUCAUCACAUCACUCACUUGAAUAAACACAAUGGAAUCUAAAUGCCAUAGCAAUCUCAUAAUUACAUCAUUCAUUUAAAAACACAGAUCGUCUUUACAGCUGAAUAAUUCUCAUUUCUUCUGGUUGCCCUUCAAACUUCUUUCUCUUCUACCUCUUCCUUAGUAGUUUAUCUUAAUGUAUUUUUUAAAAAGAUUUUAUUCAUUCAUUCAUUCAUUCAUUCAUAUAUUUUAGAGAGAAAGCUUGACGUGGGGAAUUGGGGGAGAGGCAGAGGGGGAUGGAGAACAUGAGGGAGAAGGAGAUGGAGAGAGAAUCUGAAGCAGAUUCUGCACUGAGUGUGGAGCCUGAUGUGGGGCUCAAUCCCAGGACCCAAGGAGAUCACAACCUGAGUCAAAAGUCAGAUGCUUAACUGAUUAAGCCACCCAGGCACCCCUUAAUGUAAUGUUUUACACUUGAAAGUUUUUCUGUUGCUCACUCUUUCAUGGUGCUUUGCAAUAAAAAUAUGUAUGUAAAUUUAUUUAUUUAUAUAUUUAUUUUGAGAGAGAGAG